GAUGAAGAACGCAGCGAAAUACGAUAAGUAAUGUGAAUUGCAGAAUUCAGUGAAUCAUCGAAUCUUUGAACGCACAUUGCGCCCAUUAGUAUUCUAGUGGGCAUGCCUGUUCGAGCGUCAUUUCAACCCUUAAGCCUAGCUUAGUAUUGGGAAUCGACUUUACUGUCGUUCCUCAAAUUCAACGGCGGAUUUAUAGCAAUCUCUGAACGUAGUAAUUUUUUUUCUCGUUUUUGAAAUACUAUAAACCUCAGCCGCUAAACCCCCAAUUUCUUAUGGUUGACCUCGGAUCAGGUAGGAAUACCCGCUGAACUUAAGCAUAUCAAUAAGCGGAGGA
rnacentral:misc_RNA from 1 species